rnacentral:rRNA from 1 species
AUUGAACGCUGGCGGCAGGCCUAACACAUGCAAGUCGAGCGGAUGAAGUAAGCUUUCUCCUGGAUUCAGCUGCGGACGGGUGUGUAAUGCCUAGAAAUCUGCCUGGGAGUGGUGGAUAACGUCGGGGAACGGGCGCUAAUACCGCAUACGUCCUGAGGGAGAAAUUGGUGGAUCUUCGGACCUCACGCUAUCAGAUCAGCCUAGGUCGUAUUAGCUAGUUGGUGGGGUAAAGGCCUACCAAGGCGACGAUCCGUAACUGGUCUGAGAGGAUGAUCAGUCACACUGGAACUGAGACACGGUCCAGACUCCUACGGGAGGAAGAAGUGGGGAAUAUUGGCCAAUGGGCGAAGGCCUGAUCAAGCCAUGCCGCGUGUGUGAAGAAGGUCUUCGGAUUGUAAAGCACUUUAAGUUGGGAGGACGGGCAGUAAGUUAAUACCUUGAUGUUUUGACGUUACCAACAGAAUAAGCACCGGCUAACUUCGUG